CGCACAUUGCGCCCAUUAGUAUUCUAGUGGGCAUGCCUGUUCGAGCGUCAUUAAUUCCACUUAAGCCUCUUUGCUUAGUGUUGGGAAUCUACUUGAGCGGUGCUACCCGGGACUUACCCUGUAGCUACCCUGUAGUUCCUCAAAGACAGCGGCGGAGAUGUAGUAUCCUCUGAGCUUAGUAACUUGUUCCUAGCUUUCGAGUGGACUGCGCUUCUCGCCGUAAAACACCAUACUUUUUAAUGGUUGACCUCGGAUCAGGUAGGAAUACCCGCUGAACUUAA
rnacentral:misc_RNA from 1 species